CCUGGCUCUAAGUUCCUGCCCUGUGUGAGUUCCAGGCCUGACUUCCUUUGGUGAUGAACAGCAGUGUGGAAAUGUCAGUGGACCCUCAGCUUCUAUUUAGUCAGUCUCCAAGGACUGACUAGAUUCACCUCAAGACUUUGGAAAUUCCUCUACUCCUUCAAGAGAUGGGCUUAGGAAAUGGAAUAACCAAAGGCUGCAGAAGGCUUACAGACAUGACCACAUCCUUGUCCGUAUACCUGAAGGCGGACAGGAACAUCAGCUGGCUCCUCUCUAGAUCUCCACCAUCUGCUUGUGAUCCUCCAUGGCUGUCAGUGCCCCCUAAGCCUCUUGUUAUAAAUCACCAGGAUCUCACUUUCCAGGAGACUCCACUGUAUUCAUGCUGUUUUCACACACAAUUAUUCCCAGAUAGCAGAGAGAGGAGGCUCAGGAGGAAGACCCAUGGGAUAAGAGACAUUUUAGGACACUGAGGAAACGUAACUUGAGCUCUUGAACUCAUUGAUGAGGACCAAAAGAAAUGAAUGAGCACCAGCAGAUGCUUUGGAAUACUGUGGAACGAUGGAUACCUGUCUAAUAUUGCCAAAGAGUUGGUUUCUGAGAUCCUAUGAGAAACAGCAGUCAUCAUUAGAACUGCCUGAAUGUUCUCUGGAAGGAGGAAUGGGAGGCUGGCCAAUCUAACAGGUUUUUUGAAAUAAGAUCACCACAUUAGUGGGCUAGUGAUAUGGGAACAUCAAGGAGCCCACAGUAAAAAAAAAUGUAUUUACGACAAAUACAAUUUGAAGAUCCUCCAA